CGGUUGAUCCUGCCGGACCUGACUGCUAUCGGAUUGGUACUAAGCCAUGUGAGUCGUUGUAGCAAUGCAAGGCAGACGGCUCAGUAACACGUAGUCAACCUAACCUAUGGACGGGGAUAACCUCGGGAAACUGAGAAUAAUACCCGAUAGAUCAUGAUACCUGGAACGGUUUAUGGUCCAAAUGAUUUAUCGCCAUAGGAUGGGACUGCGGUCUAUCAGCUUGUUGGUGAGGUAAUGGCCCACCAAGGCUAUAACAGAUACGGGCUCUGAGAGGAGGGGCCCGGAGAUGGGUACUGAGACACGGACCCAGGUCCUAUGGGGCGCAGCAGGCGAGAAACUUUUGCAAUGUGCGAAAGCACGACAAGGUUAAUCCGAGUGAUUCCUGCUAAAGGAAUCUUUUGUUAGUCAUAAAACCACUAAUGAAUAAGGGGUGGGCAAGUUCUGGUGUCAGCCGCCGCGGUAAUACCAGCACCUCGAGUGGUCAGGAGGUUUAUUGGGCCUAAAGCAUCCGUAGCCGGCUGCUCAAGUUUCCGGUUAAAUCCACACGCCUAACGUAUGGGCUGCCGGAAAUACUGUUCAGCUAGGGAGUGGGAGAGGUAGACGGUACUCGAUAGGAAUGGGUAAAAUCCGUUGAUCUAUUGAUGACCACCUGUGGCUAAUGCUUCCGUGCCUAACUCAUUCGACGGUGAACGUCGUCAGCUGAGCAAGUAUUGCAUGCUCGCUAUUCCCCAUUCAACCCAACUGUUACUCGGUAUACACUCCUAGAUUUCUUUGGAU
rnacentral:rRNA from 1 species